AGAGAGAGGGAGGGAGGGAGAAACAAAAAAAAGAGAGGGCUGCGUCUUCUCGUCACGUCCGGAGACAUCCCCAGCAUGAUCGUCCGGCUCCCAGCUCGGAGCCCCCAGUGAAGGGGCCCCUGCUCCCUGUGUCUCCCCCUCUCUCCUCCCCCCUCUCUUUUCCUUCUCUCCCCCUCUCUAUCCUUACCUCUGCCCCCCCCCCCCCCCGCAUUGCCCCC